ensembl:miRNA gmo-mir-11216 gmo-mir-11216
AUGGCUGGUCAACCUGUGGUGCAUUGAUUGUUCGCUGCACCACAGGUGUGCAGCCUCAU